CCAGUCGGCCGGACAGCCGCUGCCGCAAGUGCCGAAAGGCCGCGGGGGAGGAAAGUCCGGGCUCCAAGGAAACACGGUGCCGGGUAACACCCGGCGAGGGCGACCUUAGGGAAAGUGCCACAGAAAGCAAACCGCCCCGGAUUUGUCCGGGGUAAGGGUGAAAGGGUGGGGUAAGAGCCCACCGCGCGCACGGCAACGGACGCGGCAUGGUAAACCCCACCGGGAGCAAAACCGAAUAGGGACAACGCGGGCCGGGAGCGAUUCCGAGCUCAGGCCGGUUUCCAGGCCAGUUGUCCGGGUAGGUUGCGUGAGGCGUCUGGCAACAGGCGUCCCAGAUGAAUGGCUGUCGCGUCUGCGGCGUCCGCCGCAGGCCAUACCGAACCCGGCUUACAGGCCGGCUGGCAUU
rnacentral:RNase_P_RNA from 1 species